rnacentral:rRNA from 1 species
GGGCCCGCACAAGCAGUGGAGCAUGUGGUUUAAUUCGAUGCAACGCGAAGAACCUUACCAGGCCUUGACAUCCUAGGACCACCUCAGAGAUGAGGCCUUCCCUUCGGGGACCUAGUGACAGGUGCUGCAUGGCUGUCGUCAGCUCGUGUCGUGAGAUGUUGGGUUAAGUCCCGCAACGAGCGCAACCCACGUCGUUAGUUGCCAGCAUUUAGUUGGGCACUCUAGCGAGACCGCCGGUGAUAAACCGGAGGAAGGUGUGGAUGACGUCAAGUCAUCAUGCCCCUUACAUCCUGGGCUACACACGUACUACAAUGGCAUUUACAGAGGGAAGCGAGACAGUGAUGUGGAGCGGAC